UUUUGACCUCAGUUCAGACAAGGCUACCCGCCGAAUUUAAGCAUAUUACUAAGCGGAGGAAAAGAAACUAACAAGGAUUCCCCUAGUAACGGCGAGCGAACCGGGAAGAGCCCAACUUGAAAAUCUAAAGGUUGUACCUUUCGAAUUGUAGUCUAGAGACGCGUUCUCUGCGGCGGAUCGGCUCCAAGUUCCCUGGAAAGGGACGUCAGAGAGGGUGAGAACCCCGUCGAAGCCGGUUUCAGUCGCUCCACGAGGCGCAGUCGAGGAGUCGGGUUGUUUGGGAAUGCAGCCCUAAGCAGGUGGUAAAUUCCAUCUAAGGCUAAAUAUUGGCGAGAGACCGAUAGCGAACAAGUACCGCGAGGGAAAGAUGAAAAGACCUUUGAAAAGAGAGUUAAAAAGUACCUGAAAUUGUUGAGGGGGAAGCGAUUCAAACCUGUGGGUGCUCCCGGGGCAGUAGCAAUACACGCGCUCGGGGCUGGUCAACGUGGGUUAGCUUGGAAGGAUAUCACUUCCGAGUUGACCGAGGACUCGACGUCGGCGGAAAGGUUUGCAUUGACCCGUCUAGAAACACGGACCAAGGAGUCUAA
rnacentral:rRNA from 1 species